UAAUUAGUAGUUGAGACAAACAAUAUUUCUGUUUGGGUUUUAAUACCUAGGAAUGAAAUUUUAUUUUGGAUUUGGCCAAAGAGGAGGCCCAGAUUUGUUGGCCCACCUUAUAUUAAUCACUGAAAAGACAAUUAUACCCUUUUGUUUAAAAGAUUCAUUGGUUUCCCUUUUGUUUGUUUUUUGUUUUUUUUCGUAUUAGAUCUCUCUCCCACGCUGUCUCUACGCAGCAACGACGACCACAGCCUUCACCUGCGAUGGAAUUCUCAAGCUGCUCAUACCUUCGGCUUUCACCGGCAACUCCAAGGUCUUCUGGCUCAAGAUGAAGAGCAUUACGAUCGCUAUCUUGCGGAGUUCAAGAUCGGCGCUGAGCACAAUGACCAGUCAACCCUAUUUGAUCUCAUUUUGGAUGUAUAUGAACAGCAUAAAAAGUUUAUUUUACUUGGAGAGAGGGUUGUUCUUGUAACUCUUGCUUUUGAUCUUAAUGUAAACCAUCCAUAUAAACCGCUAGUAGAGGCAAUAAAGAAAUUCAAACUAGCACAUAGUGCCCUUGCUCAAGUUGCAUGGAAUUUUGUUAAUGACGGGAUCAAAUCAGGUGGUAACAAUUUGACUUUAAAAGGAUAGCCCCUCACAGGUGAAUAAAGGGCAAUGGAGUUAGUCCCCGAUUGGUCGGAGAUGGGUGGCGGCAGUUGGCGAUGGUUGGCCGGUGAUGGAUGGUGGCGGUAGGUGGCAACGGCUGGCCGGCAGUGGUGGCUGGCCUGUGGCAGCGGUGGUGGCAGCUAGCCGGAAGGAAGUUAUCCGGUGGUAGGUGGUGGUUGUUGGACGGCGACGACGGCGGUAGCUGGCCGGUGUUGGUGGUAGCUGACCGGAAGGGAGAUUGUCGGAGGUGGACAUGUGGCAUAGUGUGCUUGCUUUUAAAGGAGUGGCAUUGUGUGUAAUUUUGAUGUUUUUUAAUUACAUUAUUGUAAAAUUAGUACUACUUUUUGGUCUUUAACCUUAUGCUAAUUAGGUGAAAUUGUAUUCCUAUCUUCCAAAUUAGUAUAGUGUCUUAAAAUGAAAGCUCCCUAUUGUUAAUCACUCUUUAACCAAAGGUUUCAGUUCGGAUCGGAUUGGGAGAAUUAAAAAAUAAAAAAUGAUAAUUU